GGAGAGGUGGCUGAGUGGUCGAAAGCGGCAGAUUGCUAAUCUGUUGUAGGUUUUAGGACCUACCGAGGGUUCGAAUCCCUCCCUCUCCG
rnacentral:tRNA from 1 species